rnacentral:rRNA from 1 species
GUAGUCCACGCCGUAAACGAUGAGUGCUAAGUGUUAGGGGGUUUCCGCCCCUUAGUGCUGCAGCUAACGCAUUAAGCACUCCGCCUGGGGAGUACGACCGCAAGGUUGAAACUUAAAGGAAUUGACGGGGACCCGCACAAGCGGUGGAGCAUGUGGUUUAAUUCGGAGCAACGCGAAGAACCUUACCAAAUCUUGACAUCCUCUGACCCCUCUAGAGAUAGAGUUUUCCCCUUCGGGGGACAGAGUGACAGGUGGUGCAUGGUUGUCGUCAGCUCGUGUCGUGAGAUGUUGGGUUAAGUCCCGCAACGAGCGCAACCCUUAAGCUUAGUUGCCAUCAUUAAGUUGGGCACUCUAAGUUGACUGCCGGUGACAAACCGGAGGAAGGUGGGGAUGACGUCAAAUCAUCAUGCCCCUUAUGAUUUGGGCUACACACGUGCUACAAUGGACAAUACAAAGGGUAGCGAAACCGCGAGGUCAAGCAAAUCCCAUAAAGUUGUUCUCAGUUCGGAUUGUAGUCUGCAACUCGACUAUAUGAAGCUGGAAUCGCUAGUAAUCGUAGAUCAGCAUGCUACGGUGAAUACGUUCCCGGGUCUUGUACACACCGCCCGUCACACCCUGGGAAUUG